rnacentral:rRNA from 1 species
GUUCUCUCCAGAGUGGAUCCUGAGUACGGCGGAACACGUGAAAUUCCGUCGGAAUCCGGGAGGACCAUCUCCCAAGGCUAAAUACUCCCUAGUGACCGAUAGUGAACCAGUACCGUGAGGGAAAGGUGAAAAGCACCCCGGAAGGGGAGUGAAAUAGAUCCUGAAACCGUGUGCCUACAAGUAGUCAGAGCCCGUUAACGGGUGAUGGCGUGCCUUUUGUAGAAUGAACCGGCGAGUUACGAUCCCGUGCAAGGUUAAGCAGAAGAUGCGGAGCCGCAGCGAAAGCGAGUCUGAAUAGGGCGCAUGAGUACGUGGUCGUAGACCCGAAACCAGGUGAUCUACCCAUGUCCAGGGUGAAGUUCAGGUAACACUGAAUGGAGGCCCGAACCCACGCACGUUGAAAAGUGCGGGGAUGAGGUGUGGGUAGGGGUGAAAUGCCAAUCGAACCUGGAGAUAGCUGGUUCUCUCCGAAAUAGCUUUAGGGCUAGCCUCAAGGUAAGAGUCUCGGAGGUAGAGCACUGAUUGGACUAGGGGCCCCUACCGGGUUACCGAAUUCAGUCAAACUCCGAAUGCCGAUGACUUAUCCUUGGGAGUCAGACUGCGAGUGAUAAGAUCCGUAGUCGAAAGGGAAACAGCCCAGACCGCCAGCUAAGGUCCCAAAGUAUACGUUAAGUGGAAAAGGAUGUGGAGUUGCUUAGACAACCAGGAUGUUGGCUUAGAAGCAGCCACCAUUUAAAGAGUGCGUAAUAGCUCACUGGUCGAGUGACUCUGCGCCGAAAAUGUACCGGGGCUAAACGUAUCACCGAAGCUGCGGACUGUUCUGACGAACAGUGGUAGGAGAGCGUUCUAAGGGCUGUGAAGCCAGACCGGAAGGACUGGUGGAGCGCUUAGAAGUGAGAAUGCCGGUAUGAGUAGCGAAAGACGGGUGAGAAUCCCGUCCACCGAAUGCCUAAGGUUUCCUGAGGAAGGCUCGUCCGCUCAGGGUUAGUCGGGACCUAAGCCGAGGCCGAAAGGCGUAGGCGAUGGACAACAGGUUGAUAUUCCUGUACCACCUCCUCACCAUUUGAGCAAUGGGGGGACGCAGGAGGAUAGGGUAAGCGCGGUAUUGGAUAUCCGCGUCCAAGCAGUUAGGCUGGGAAAUAGGCAAAUCCGUUUCCCGUAAAGGCUGAGCUGUGAUGGCGAGCGAAAUUUAGUAGCGAAGUUCCUGAUUCCACACUGCCAAGAAAAGCCUCUAGCGAGGUGAGAGGUGCCCGUACCGCAAACCGACACAGGUAGGCGAGGAGAGAAUCCUAAGGUGAUCGAGAGAACUCUCGUUAAGGAACUCGGCAAAAUGACCCCGUAACUUCGGGAGAAGGGGUGCUUCUUAGGGUGUUAAAGCCCCGAGAAGCCGCAGUGAAUAGGCCCAGGCGACUGUUUAGCAAAAACACAGGUCUCUGCGAAGCCGUAAGGCGAAGUAUAGGGGCUGACGCCUGCCCGGUGCUGGAAGGUUAAGAGGAGCGCUUAGCGUAAGCGAAGGUGCGAAUUGAAGCCCCAGUAAACGGCGGCCGUAACUAUAACGGUCCUAAGGUAGCGAAAUUCCUUGUCGGGUAAGUUCCGACCCGCACGAAAGGCGCAACGAUCUGGGCACUGUCUCAACGAGAGACUCGGUGAAAUUAUAGUACCUGUGAAGAUGCAGGUUACCCGCGACAGGACGGAAAGACCCCGUGGAGCUUUACUGCAGCCUGAUAUUGAAUGUUGGUACAGCUUGUACAGGAUAGGUAGGAGCCUUGGAAACCGGAGCGCUAGCUUCGGUGGAGGCAUCGGUGGGAUACUACCCUGGCUGUAUUGACCUUCUAACCCGCUGCCCUUAUCGGGCAGGGAGACAGUGUCAGGUGGGCAGUUUGACUGGGGCGGUCGCCUCCUAAAAUGUAACGGAGGCGCCCAAAGGUUCCCUCAGAAUGGUUGGAAAUCAUUCGCAGAGUGUAAAGGCACAAGGGAGCUUGACUGCGAGACCUACAAGUCGAGCAGGGACGAAAGUCGGGCUUAGUGAUCCGGUGGUUCCG